GGCGAGACAGAUUUAGUGAUAUUUGUAGUGAUACUCCACACCUUCCCCGCAGUACGCUCUUUGCCCCGAUUGCUUCUGGCAGGAUGAUCCACCAAAGCCCAGGAAAACCCAGUCAGAUCCUUUUGGGGCUUUUGGGCUUGAGUGCACUCCAGGGAAGGUUUUUUUUUUAAUUUUGAUUCCGCGCCAGCAAGAAAGUCUGUACUAAAACAACUUGGCAUAGCUAAAAACUGUACUAGUCGAAAUGCAAAAUGUGUCUCUUGGGGGUAAUCUUGAAUAAUGAUUACCCCCUUAAGAUUGAACAUUUAAACAAUAAUAUUCGAUUUGAUAUUUUCAAUUUCUACGCUAUGCCAAUGAAUCUGGCAUAGUUAAACAUUUGCACAUUCUUAGUCAAGAAAGCAAUAUGUUUUAUUAGACUAAAGCAGAUCACAUGUUCUAGUAUUCUGAUUUACUUGAUGCCUGUGGAAUAAGAAACCUCUUCACUUAUUAUAAUAUGUAUUAUUACAAAUUAAACUUAAAUCUGUUAAGCC
rfam:Drosophila ficusphila unplaced genomic scaffold scf7180000453835, whole genome shotgun sequence